UACGUAGGGUGCGAGCGUUAAUCGGAAUUACUGGGCGUAAAGCGUGCGCAGGCGGUUCGUUGUGUCGGCGGUGAAAGCCCCGGGCUUAACCUGGGAACGGCCGUUGAAACUGGCGAACUGGAGUGUGGCAGAGGGGGUGGAAUUUCAGGUGUAGCGGUGAAAUGCGUAGAUAUCUGAAGGAACAUCAGUGGCGAAAGCGACUUCCUGGACCAAUACUGACGCUCAUGUGCGAAAGCGUGGGAGCAAACAGG
rnacentral:rRNA from 1 species